AUACCUUUUUGUUUUUGUGGUCCCUUCUUCUGCCGUGACGUCAGACCAGUCAGCCAUUCCUGCCACAGUCCCCCAUAGGGGGACCGUCUAUAUUAAAUUGAUUUUUGGAAGCGGGAGAUGGAACCGGGGCUUGCUCCGUCCACUCCACGCAUCGACCCAGUAUUGCAGUACCUCCGGGAACAGUGCACAAGAA